rnacentral:rRNA from 1 species
GGAUAGCAAUACCGUGGAUGGCGACCGGCAAACGGGAUGCGGAACACGUACGCAACCCUUCCUUCAAGCGGGGAAUAGCCCAGAGAAAUUUGGAUUAAUACCCCAUAGGAAUGUAGUCUCGCAUGAGACAGCAUUUAAAGAUUUAUCACUUGAAGAUGGGCGUGCGUCUGAUUAGGUAGUUGGUGAGGUAACGGCUCACCAAGCCGACGAUCAGUAACUGGCGUGAGAGCGCGACCAGUCACACGGGCACUGAGACACGGGCCCGACUCCUACGGGAGGCAGCAGUAAGGAAUAUUGGUCAAUGGACGCAAGUCUGAACCAGCCAUGCCGCGUGGAGGAUGAAGGCCCUCUGGGUUGUAAACUUCUUUUAUUUGGGACGAAACACUUUCUUUCUAGAGAGCUUGACGGUACCAGAUGAAUAAGCACCGGCUAACUCCGUGCCAGCAGCCGCGGUAAUACGGAGGGUGCAAGCGUUAUCCGGAUUCACUGGGUUUAAAGGGUGCGUAGGCGGACUUGUAAGUCCGUGGUGAAAUCUCCGAGCUUAACUCGGAAACUGCCAUGGAUACUAUAAGUCUUGAAUGUUGUGGAGGUUAGCGGAAUAGUUCAUGUAGCGGUGAAAUGCUUAGAUAUGACCUAGAACACCAAUUGCGAAGGCAGCUGGCUACACAAUAAUUGACGCUGAGGCACGAAAGCGUGGGGAUCAAACAGGAUUAGAUACCCUGGUAGUCCACGCCCUAAACGAUGAUUACUCGACAUUUGCGAUAUACAGUAAGUGUCUGAGCGAAAGCAUUAAGUAAUCCACCUGGGAAGUACGACCGCA